AUUGAACGCUGGCGGCAGGCCUAACACAUGCAAGUCGAACGAGUGGCGGACGGGUGAGUAAUGUCUGGGAAACUGCCCGAUGGAGGGGGCUAACUACUGGAAACGGUAGCUAAUACCGCAUACCAUCGGAUGUGCCCAGAUGGGAUUAGCUAGUCGGUGGGGUAAUGGCUCACCUAGGCGACGCGCCCUAGCUGGUCUGUGAGGAUGACCAGCCACACUGGAACUGAGACACGGUCCAGACUCCUACGGAAGGCAGCAGUGGGGAAUAUUGCACAAUGGGCGCAAGCCUGAUGCAGCCAUGCCGCGUGUAUGAAGAAGUUCUUCGGAUUGUAAAGCACUUUAAGUUGGGAGGCGUUACCAACAGAAUAAGCACCGGCUAACUUCGUGCCAGCAGCCGCGGUAAUAC
rnacentral:rRNA from 1 species